GGUCACUCAAGAUGAGCUAAUUAGCUUUUGCCAAAUAUAUUUUGGCCCGGUUUCCCAGGUAAAGCUUAUGGGCCAUGACAACCAAUCCACAAAGAUAGCUUUUAUCGAGUUUAUGGAGUUUAGUGGCGCUAUCACUGCUUUGAACUCUAGUGGCAUAUAUGUGAAAGGUCUUAUAAUAAGGGUCAACCCUUCAAAGACACCAAUCAGGACGGCACAUUUACAAUAAGCCACGUCGUGCUAACUAGCUGCCUGGUGCGUCUCCGAGUUUGCAUUCCUAAGAGAAUGAGGUGUACAUAUUGUCAAGAGACAGAAUGACGGAUGAUGCAUGUGAAUGUCUGAAUGAUAAUUUAAGACUCUGUCCAUGUGGCAAUUUCCAUAGACUAUUGUACCUUGAGUGCUAAUAUUAGACUACUAAAACUUUCUUUAGUUGAUCUACAUAUCAUUUCUCUGGUUGUAUUUUCUUAUGCUAAGCGCAUCUCCACCGGCACCCCUAUAGCGACUCCAAUAGCCACAAU